UACGAAGGUCCCUAGCGUUGUUCGGAAUUAUUGGGCGUAAAGCGCUUGUAGGUGGCUUUGAAAGUUAGGUGUGAAAGCCCCGGGCUCAACCCGGGAAGUGCACUUAAAACUCCUUAGCUUGAGUACGGUAGAGGUAAGUGGAAUACCUGGUGUAGUGGUGAAAUACGUAGAUAUCAGGUGGAACAUCAGUGGCGAAGGCGGCUUACUGGACCAGUACUGACACUGAGAAGCGAAAGCAUGGGGAUCAAACAGG
rnacentral:ncRNA from 2 species